rnacentral:lncRNA from 1 species
UGGUCUGUGGCGUGGCGUCCUCAGCGGCACAAGCAGGCUCGGCCACCCUCUAGUCGGCGGCGUUGUCGGGGUUGACGCCCGACGCCGCGCUAAAGAACAAAGCAGCAUUUUCAAAAAAAAACAAAAACAAUCGCCAAAGUACGUAAGUUGAACACUCACAGGUCUGAUCGACGAUGGGCCGCGGUGAACCUCCUCCUAGCCCUGC